GAAUACGUUCCCGGGCCUUGUACACACCGCCCGUCACACCAUGGGAGUUUGUUGCACCAGAAGUAGGUAGUCUAACCUUAGGGGGGACGCUUACCACGGUGUGGCAGAUGACUGGGGUGAAGUCGUAACAAGGUAGCCGUAGGGGAACCUGCGGCUGGAUCACCUCCUUA
rnacentral:rRNA from 1 species